rnacentral:rRNA from 1 species
CCUACGUGUGGCAGCAGUGAGGAAUAUUGGUCAAUGGGCGGGAGCCUGAACCAGCCAAGCCGCGUGAGGGAAGAAGGCACAGCGUAUCGUAAACUUCUUUUGUCAGGGAACAAAGGCGGGGACUAGUCCCCGGUUGAGGGUACCUUAAGAAAAAGCAUCGGCUAACUCCGUGCCAGCAGCCGCGGUAAUACGGAGGAUGCGAGCGUUAUCCGGAUUUAUUGGGUUUAAAGGGUGCGCAGGGGGCCUGUUAAGUCAGCGGUAAAAGACCGGGGCUCAACCCUGGCGCGCCGUUGAAACUGGCGGGCUGGAGUUGGAGAGAGGUACGCGGAAUGCGCGGUGUAGCGGUGAAAUGCUUAGAUAUCACGAAGAACCCCGAUUGCGAAGGCAGCGUACCGGCUCCACACUGACGCUGAGGCACGAAAGCGUGGGUAUCGAACAGGAUUAGAUACCCCUGUAGUC